UAGCAGUGUGUGUUUCUGUGGCAUUCUGC
rnacentral:piRNA from 1 species